rnacentral:lncRNA from 1 species
UGCAUAUAUCUUUUGCUAGUGUAAGAACUUAUUCUUCCUUGUAUGGCGCUUGUGUAAUAUCUUGGGUUUCAUAUAUACUCAUAUAAUAUCUGGCAUUGGUCCUCUUCAAAAAAAAAAAUCUGGCAUUGGUACCGGUUUUGGAUAGUAAACCCUUACGCAUUUGUUGUUAAUACACUUAUAAAUAAAAUCAUGUACAUUUAAUUUGAAAACUUUUGGACAAUCACCAUCGACUUCGCAUCCUUUUUUGUUGUAAUGAAAAAGAGAAUAAAAAAAUGUUAAUAAAAUGAGAUAAAAAGAAUGUGUAUGAACUACAAAGUAAUUAAGCAAGAUUGAAAAGAGUGAAAAUAUGGCUUACCGUCAACUUCCUUUGCAAAACAAGAAACAAGGAAAGAAAUAAAAUUAUAGUAUAAAAAAAC